ACCUCUAGGCUCCUGGUUACCCCUCUGGGGGCCGGCCCUGGGUGAGCUGAAGUGUUUUCCUGCAGAGCCAUGGAAGGUUCAGGAAGGCACUGCUAGCAUGGUCAGGAGAGUGUCUUCCCCACCCAGCUCACAUCAGAGCCGGACUGCGGUGGUGCUCCCCAGGCUCACCCUGACGCUGGGGAAGCAAGGCAACUUUGUUGGAAGAAACGCAUCCUGAGAUGCAUCCAGGGCUUGGAUUUGGCUGGAAACAGGUUUGAACCCACGUUGGAUCCUCCACUGUAACUCAGGAAAGGAUUAUUAUCUUUCCUACUCCUUGACAAGAGAUCAGGGAAAGAAGACGAUGCCCAUUUCUGGAGAUCUUCUUCUUCUGAAAUGCUAAACUCUUCUGAAGUUCAUUACUAAACAGAGUACUGUUUAGAUGGUGGGCACUGUGAUGGGCCAGAGGUCCAGAGAUGAAUGGGUUAUAGCCUCUGACUGCCAGGACUGGCCAGUAAGUUUGGUGGAUGAGGACUCAAGCUGAAGACAUUGCAAAUGACUGAACUGGUACCAGUUGCUGCAAAUUGGU